rnacentral:rRNA from 1 species
UGGGAAUUUGGACAAUGGGGCAACCCUGAUCCAGCAAUGCCGCGUGUGUGAAGAAGGCCUUCGGGUUGUAAAGCACUUUUGUCCGGAAAGAAAUCGCCCUGGCUAAUAUCCGGGGUGGAUGACGGUACUGGAAGAAUAAGCACCGGCUAACUACGUGCCAGCAGCCGCGGUAAUACGUAGGGUGCGAGCGUUAAUCGGAAUUACUGGGCGUAAAGCGUGCGCAGGCGGUUGUGCAAGACAGAUGUGAAAUCCCCGGGCUUAAACCUGGGAAUGGCAUUUGUGACUGCACGGCUAGAGUGUGUCAGAGGGGGGUAGAAUUCCACGUGUAGCAGUGAAAUGCGUAGAUAUGUGGAGGAACACCGAUGGCGAAGGCAGCCCCCUGGGAUAACACUGACGCUCAUGCACGAAAGCGUGGGGAGCAAACAGGAUUAGAUACCCUGGUAGUCCACGCCCUGAACGAUGUCAACUAGUUGUCGGGUCUUAAUUGACUUGGUAACGCAGCUAACGCGUGAAGUUGACCGCCUGGGGGAGUACGGUCGCAAGAUUAAAAACUCAAA